GACCAGAUAGUUCAAUUGGUAGAGCAUCCGUCUAGAGUUCGGAGGGUCCCGGGUUCGAACCCCGGUCUGGCCG
rnacentral:tRNA from 1 species